UUUCAAAACAUCCAAAAAGUAAGAGUAAAACAUUCGCAAAACAAUUUUCAUUUGCAAUCCUCAAUCCGUUGUUUCUCGCCUCUCUUCUCUCUCUCUUGCAUCCCUUCCACUCUCUCCACCCUAGCGGUGGCGUUUUGUAGUGCGUCACGCUAGGGCUUGUUUCUUUCAGAGGUGCUUUCAUCAAAGUUUUCAUCGGUGCUUUUCUGGGGUCGGUUUUUGUUUUUGUUUUCAUAUUCAGGCUAGAGCUUUCAUCAGAGCUCUUUCAUCUUCUCCAACGGGCGGUCUCGUGAGUAUUUCGCCGUGGUGUUUCUUUUUGAGGCUUCUCAGUUAAAGCAUACAUGGAGCGUCGAUUCUCUGUGGAAGCAAAAGCUUUAUACUUUUUAGUGAAGGCUGAUGCGUUUGAGAUUUGCUUGGAGGAAAGGAGGAAGCGGUUUUUUGGUUUUAUUUUUCUGGGUCUCCAGUGUUCUGUGUGGUUGUUGGCCACAGUAGAGGAGGCGCUGAAGGAACCAGUGAAGAAGGAUUUUGUCAAGUCCUACUGCGAAGAUGUGAAAGCAUUGAUGGUUCGUGAGGGUGGGAAUAAGGCUGGUCGUUACCUUGAGGUGGUUGUCUUUGUUGAGGGUGGUCGUAAAGGGGUUAUUUGGCUCCCUGAAGACCGUGAAGGAUGGGCUGGUCUUAGGUUGUGGGUGAGUUGUGGAAGAUGCUUACUUUUUCAAAGGCUCAGUCGUAGGUUUCUUAGACAUCCGCAUCAGAGGGGAUACAGAAGGGGGGUGUUUCGUCCAGUCGUCUGGGUGGGGUUUCUCCAUCCUUUGCGGAAGUGGUUUGGGGAAAGCUGUUUCUCGUGUCAAGCAUCCUAGGCUAUGGGUUUUGGAGUUAGAGUUGCGUGGGUUGGAUUUGCUUUCGGUGGCGUGGUGUAGGGUGGUCGAAGACCCGAGAAUGGCAGUGAAUUACUAUGAUUUGGAGGAGCAACCGCACGGGUUGUUGGAGAAGAAUAAGAAUCCAGUUUGUUUCCAUGGUGGCGGCGUGGCUAGGAAGAAGAUGAAGCUAGGGCUUUAUCGUUUGUGGAAGAAGCUUCUAGAGUGGCUUUGGGCUGCUUUGGACCGGGUUUCAACUUAUGUCUCGAUUGGACAUACCUGCUAUUGCAUCCUCCUUUGCUCAUACUGGACCUAGUAAUGGGGAAGAUGAUUGGCAGUGGUAGCUUGAGGGAUGGCUUGUACUACCUUGACUCUCAGCCCAACACGCAAGUUCGGCUCAUACAGGCUUAUUAUUCAGUUCAGGCGGAUAACUGCACCUAAAAUCUAGCUCUGACUAAUCGCGAUUAGGGCAUCCUUCCUUUUUAAUUUUGCAACACAUGUUUCCUUCUUUAUUUGUGCAUAAUAACGUUUCUAAGUUUCAAUGUGAAACUUGUGAACUUUCUAAACACCAUCGCUUGUCUUUUUCUCCUAGUAUCAAUAAAAGUGAUGAGCCUUUUGUUCUUGUUCA